rnacentral:lncRNA from 1 species
UGAGGACGGAGGAGGGGGGAGCGUGGAGACACGUGUGGGAGGAAGAGGAGGAAGACGCCAGGAGGUGUCGCGUCGCCGUCACAUCACGAGUCCACAACCACAGAAACCUGCAGCUGUGUUUCAUCAACAACAGCGACAGUGAAGACGAGGAGGAAGGAAGCAACAGAAAGGUCAACGUGGGAACCGGCCACAACGGUUGCCACGCCAGCGGGCUGAAACAGGAAGUGGCCAUGACUCUGAGGACGCUGAGGGACAAGGUGCUGGCGGAACAGAAGGAGAAGGAGGUAAAGGGAAGGAAGGAUGAGCAAAAUGAAGAAGGGUAGCAGGCUGUGAGCAGGUGGACCAUUCUUUAAAAAACACUGACUUCAGCUCUGUGCUUUGCAGCGUCUGGCCGGCAGCAGCUGUGUCACCAAGCGGAAACAUCUGGAGCUCUGGGAGCUGCAGGAGUGUUCGGUGCAACAGCUCAGCAGCUUGAGAGCAUCACUGCAGCAGGACGUACAUGGUAAAUACAGACAAAUACUCCAAACACAGUCUGGACUGCAGCUCUGUUUGAAACAGCAACAACAUUAGUGACGUUUGCAUCUUUUGCUUUUCUGCAGCCCUGAGCUCCGAUCUGGUGACCCACCUGUUGGUACGAGACCAGCUGAGGACAAAGCAGGACGCCAUGCUGCUGGACGUCCAGGACCUGACCUAACACCAGGUCGGGAACAUGGACAGCCCGCACAAACCCGGUCGAGCAGUCGCUGGGCCCCUCAGGGACCAGGUCAGGCUGCUCGUCCACGUUUACUUCAACAAAACAUUAGCCAACCUGCUAAUUUAUCGGAGCUGAUCAAUCACCAGCAGGAGGAGAUAUGAGUCAAAGGGAAGUUAAAUAAUCUGAAAACCCAAAACAGGGUGAGACAUUGCUCUGGCAAACUUGAAACAGCAGGAUGAGUCUUCAACACCCGUCCAAAGGAAGGUUCGUUCAAGGCUGCACUUUGAUAUCAAGAUGAUGAGGAGUCACCAUGAACAGACACAAAGUCACGGUCCAAUCACCUUCUGGCCUGUGAGGACCGUGGUGAACUAACGAGGUCUGGAGACCAUCGAGAAGAAACACAAGCACAACACCGCUCUCACCUUAUUCAUCAGUUCGUCUAAACAGCCAUGUCAUUUGUGUUAGUGCUCAGGACCUGUGCUUGGUAUUGCACCCACAGAGGCUGGGAAAGGAAACAGACACGUCUAUAGACACCAGUGUGUCCAGUCAUCACAGCCACUGAAACCAGACGUCAGUCAUGUACGGAUGAUUGGCAGGUGAAACUAAAUGGUUGUGAGUAACAGUGGAGGAUGGUGGUGUUACAUUUUAGACAGUUUAACAACAUCUGGAUGACGUUACGUGAUCAGAUUGAUUGAAAACCAUAUGGGAACACGACGACAUCUGGAUUUACACAGUCCCAGCUUUGGACCACAUGACUUAAGCCUGUCUCCUAAAAGUUAUGUUCCUAUAAAACUUUAGAAACAAAUCCCUUGACAAUCCAGAUGCUAUUUCGCAUCAUUUCACAAAGUCACUAAACGAAUCUGUUCUCAUCGAUCGCAACAAACAAACAAACAACAUAUUUAUAUUACUGGAAGACACGUCACAGUGAAAACAAUCAUCCAAUCCUGAUUUUAAAAGACAAUAAUUUAAAGAGUAACUUAAAAUCCUCAAGGAUCAAAUCCAAACAAAUCAAUAUCAGAUCAGAUUGAUCAGUGCCAAUAUCCAGCCUUUACGAGGCUCGUUCAAUCCAGUUUGGUCUGUUUUUUUCCACUGAACUUUAAUGUAGGACUGAAAUGUUUUGGUGAAGUCUGUAUCAGGAGGGGUUCAUGGAGGAGGGUUCGGCUUCUUGUUCCGUCGGUAUAAAAGCAAAAUGAGCGACUCUAAGUUAUUUAAGUUUUAUUGUUUAUUACUUUUGCCUGUGAUUAUAACAAGGGAACAGUUCACUCACUCAGCAUGUGUAGCAACUUAACUGAGUCCUUGAUGUUUUUAUUGUUGUUUUUCUUAAAAAACAUAAGAGGAAUUUCACCAAAAUGUAUUUUAGGAUCUUCACGCUGAAAAAAAAAAAAGACUUUCUGGAAAUGUUGUUUUAAUUUGGGACAUAAGCUGAUUUAAACCUCUUUAAAUUUAAUAAUAGACUGUAAUAAUGAUUUAUAAAAAGGUUAAAGCUGAAGAGUCUUCAUUUUACAAUUUCAAAUAUCAGAUGAUUUUUUUAAUAUUACUUAGAUCUGAAAUAAAUAGUCAAUGAACUAAUUAGUCAAUAAAAAAUAAGCAAACAAUAUACGACAUCACAUUUGGCUUUGCAAAGUUAUCAGGAACACUUUUUCAUCAGUUUUACAAAUUAAUUUAUAAAAACAGGCCGAUUCCUUGAUAAAAUUACUAAUAUUACCAAAAAUAUAUUUGGUGGCAUUCCUCUUUAACAGAUGCUAAACAAUCAGGUACAGUCAGCGAUUCUGUUGCUGUUAAUAAGAAAUGCAAGGGAAUAAUCUACUUAAUAUAACUAAAUAUGUGUGAUGGUUUUUCUGUGUAACUCCAUGUUUACGUCAUGUUUGUUCACCUAAACGUGAAAAAGCUCCUGAACAUUUAAAGGGCAGAAAUGUAAAGACCUUGACACACCAGCCGAGGAUAUUACAGUGACUCAGAAAGUGCCUUUUUAUAAACAGAGCAACAGAGAAAUGAUGUUUUGAUUAUUUCCACAUUCCCUGAACUGUUCUGUAAAGAUGUGCAUUAAAGGACGUGACGUCGGAGACGUGAGGGACAAGUUGAACGUCCUGAAUAAUAAGAGUAAUAUUUCUUCCUGCCAGUAGCUAAUAAGUGAGCAGAUAGCUUUUUUUGUUUCACUGUGACUUUAAGAGUAUUUAGAGAAGUAUUUUAAAAUGUACAUAAAAUUAUUAUAAAUGUAUUUGGAAAUGUAAACAUUAAUUCUGAAAUAUAUUUUGAGCUAAAAAGAUGACACAUAUUGGUGGUUAUAUUUUUGUGUCCUUUCAUUUUGUGAAAAAGACUAAUUAUUUCUUUUUGUCAAUCAAUCAAUCAAUCGCCUAGUCGAUAGGGAUUUACUUUAGUAAAACAAAGUAAUACAAAUGACAACCCAAAUACUGCUGCUAAUGUAAAUGAAUAAGAAAUGAAUCAUUUACUGCUAAUAAUUUAAACCCACACCUCCAUUUUCCUUCACACACGUCCGUGCACAUUCAAUCACUUCUGAUAAAUAACCAGGAGAAUUAGAAAAUUAGGUUAAAUUGAAGAAUCAACCAGGGGAACAGCCUCUAUUUCUAGUGUUCGUUGACCUAAUUAACAUAGAGUGAACCUGGUGGUUACCGGCUUGGCUUGACUGAACCAGGACCAUAAUCUGGACUGAUACUUAAACUGAGGAGGGACCAUUUUCCUUGAUCUGUGAGAAAUGUCAGAUCUGAGGU